AUUAUUUGAUCCCCACCCUCAGCGUCCAACAAGUCUAAGAAAUCUUUACCAGCCCGGGCGUUUUUUGAAUGCUCACAUUUGUUUCUGAGUGGAUGAAUGGGGAGCGGAAGAAUGAAUGCCGAGUGCCGGAAUGCUGAAUACUUCUGGUUGCUUUAGAUCGCAUCACACCUGGGCACGUGAGCCGCGCCGGCAGGACUGAGCCAAUAACACCAUGCAUCCAACACAAUAUUUCCAGCUAAAACUGGUGAAAAUCCUUUCCCAGGUAAGCGACCUCACCUGUCUGAAAUAUUG